AUACGGAGGGUGCGAGCGUUAAUCGGAAUUACUGGGCGUAAAGGGCGUGUAGGUGGAAACAUAAGUCACAGGUGAAAUCCCCGGGCUCAACCUGGGAACUGCCUGUGAAACUGUGUAUCUAGAGUACGAGAGAGGGAAGUGGAAUUUCCGGUGUAGCGGUGAAAUGCGUAGAUAUCGGAAGGAACACCAGUGGCGAAGGCGACUUUCUGGCUCGAUACUGACACUGAGGCGCGAAAGCGUGGGUAGCAAACAGGAUUAGAAACCCGAGUAGUCC
rnacentral:rRNA from 1 species